rnacentral:rRNA from 1 species
AGUGGCGGACGGGUGAGUAACGCGUGGGUAACCUGCCUCAUACAGGGGGAUAACAGUUAGAAAUGACUGCUAAUACCGCAUAAGACCACAGCACCGCAUGGUGCAGGGGUAAAAACUCCGGUGGUAUGAGAUGGACCCGCGUCUGAUUGGGUAGUUGGUGGGGUAACGGCCUACCAAGCCGACGAUCAGUAGCCGACCUGAGAGGGUGACCGGCCACAUUGGGACUGAGACACGGCCCAA